CUAAAUUGUUUCGGUUUUUUUAUUCAAUUAAAAACCGACUAAAAUAUUGGCUUUACCAGAGAUCAAGUUUCUUCAAGUUCUUUGCAAAGACGUUCAAAUAUGUAUAUUUCUUUAUAUGAGACUGAAAUGCCAGAAAGUUUUGGUACCAUUUUAUGUUUAAUUUUGGUUGUAUUAUUGAUUUCGAUCACAGUUUUAAGCAUAUAUCAGUGUUUUAAGUAUACUAAAAAUAACAGGAGGGCGCGUUAUUACGAUCGUUUGGACUGUCGUUAUAGUCAACCAGGAAAGAUUUUUGAGAAUAUACAUUCUACUAGUCACCGAUCAUAAAAUUACUAAUAACAGUUUAAUAAAACACCAAAAACUUUAUAUCAUAAUGAACUUGCGGACACUAACCAACUAACGGACAUGGACGGUAUUAACAUGAUUCUUUCAUACUACGUUACCACAGUACAUAAUACCUACAAAAAAUAUUUCCACAAACUGGUUAUCUUUGAGUCGUACUGAUUGCUGAUACUGGUGUGAAAAUGAAGAGAUGAUGAUGCAGGUUAUUGUUUAGUGAUGCGCUGUAUCCAGAAGAUAACAGUUAGAGACUUUUUGCUUAGCAAUAGAAACAGAUUAAAUAUUUAUCUUAAAAGUCUUUAAUUUUUUAAUUGAAUCAGCACUCGAAAAAUGUUACAAAGAUGUAUAGUUGGAAUAAAUAAAGACAUACGAAGAAUAGACGUCAUUAACUACAACGAAAACAAUAUUCAAAAGUCUGACUGUUGGUAGGCAGGCUUAACACUACAGCAGUUUUUAAUGGAUCAAUCAACC